GAUGAACGCUGGCGGCGUGCCUAAUACAUGCAAGUCGAGCGAACAGAUGAGGAGCUUGCUCCUCUGACGUUAGCGGCGGACGGGUGAGUAACACGUGGAUAACCUACCUAUAAGACUGGGAUAACUUCGGGAAACCGGAGCUAAUACCGGAUAAUAUAUUGAACCGCAUGGUUCAAUAGUGAAAGACGGUUUUGCUGUCACUUAUAGAUGGAUCCGCGCCGCAUUAGCUAGUUGGUAAGGUAACGGCUUACCAAGGCAACGAUGCGUAGCCGACCUGAGAGGGCGAUCGGCCACACUGGAACUGAGACACGGUCCAGACUCCUACGGGAGGCAGCAGUAGGGAAUCUUCCGCAAUGGGCGAAAGCCUGACGGAGCAACGCCGCGUGAGUGAUGAAGGUCUUCGGAUCGUAAAACUCUGUUAUUAGGGAAGAACAAAUGUGUAAGUAACUAUGCACGUCUUGACGGUACCCAAUCAGAAAGCCACGGCUAACUACGUG
rnacentral:rRNA from 1 species